GGGCAUUUGGUAUAGUGGUAUGAUUCUCGCUUCGGAUGUGAGAGGUCUCAAGUUCGAUUCUUGAAAUGCCCC